rnacentral:tRNA from 1 species
GGAGGGGUGACCGAGUGGCCGAAGGUGCACGAUUGGAAAUCGUGUGAACUGAAAGGUUCCGAGGGUUCGAAUCCCUCCCUCUCCG